rnacentral:misc_RNA from 1 species
AGAGUGGCCUUGCUGCCACGAUCCACCGAGAUUCAGCCCUUUGUCGCUAAGAUUCGACCCUCCCUAAAUCACUCCAAAAAAACAAUCCCCAAUUCUACACAAGUGUUUCUACACUAACAAAAGCAACAGCUCCUUAACGAAUUCCCAACUUUACACGAGCUCGUCUCUCGAGGUUAAAUGUUAUUACUUGGUAAGAUUCCGGACCUCGCCAAGUGUUUUGAAAACCCGCAACGCUCGCAAAGGUGCAUAGUGAGAAGAAUAAGUGAAGAGACAGACUUGUCCAAAACGCUCACGAAGGUGCAUAGUGAGAAGAGUAAGUCAAGAGACAGACUUGUCCAAAAGAAACAAAAGAGAAUGCUUGGGGUUACACUCACGAAGGUGCAUAGUGAGAAGAGAGUAAGUCAAGAGCAGACUUGUUCAAAAAGAACCAGAAGAGAAUGCUUGGGGAGAUAGAAGUGUGAGAUAGUUCUCAAGCUAAGAAAGUUGUAAAAGCUAAGAACUAGCAUCAAAUGAUGGAUGAAACACAAGGUAGUUGUUGAAAAGUCAAACACUUGGUGAUAUGAACACAAACGUUCAAUAUGACAAACCCAUGCCAAGUAAAGAGAAAAUGAAAACUGGUGAUUGUUGCGGAAAUCGUCCAGGAUUCCUCGACCAGGACUUGAAAUCGUCGAGGGAAAAUAAUCGGUUCAGAGAAUCGUCGAUCCGGACUUGGAAUCGUCGAGAAAAGUUUACCGGGUCCGAGGAAUCGUCGAU